UACAGAGGUCUCAAGCGUUGUUCGGAUUCAUUGGGCGUAAAGGGUGCGUAGGUGGCGCCGUAAGUCAGGUGUGAAAUUUCGGAGCUUAACUCCGAAACUGCAUUUGAUACUGCGGUGCUUGAGGACUGGAGAGGAGACUGGAAUUCGAUGGUGUAGCAGUGAAAUGCGUAGAGAUCAUGAGGAAGACCAGUGGCGAAGGCGGGUCU
rnacentral:rRNA from 1 species